UGUUUAUUCAACCCUCAUGUUGUUGUCAACAGGUUGUUGUUAAUUAGUUAAUUGUUUAUUUACCAAUUUACUAUUAAUUCUCAUAGGAAACUCGAUUAUAUGUGAUUUAUAAAUUGUUGGUUAGUUAAUCAAUUGUGUUCUCGGUGUAAUUACUGUUAAAUAGAUGAUGACAGUUGAAAGAUUUUGUUAAUUUGUUGUUGGUGUUUAAAGGUGAAGACGCCCAAUCAUUAUAACCAUUGAUUUCUCUUACAAUUUAAUCAUAUUAAUCUUGGAUCUUAUUAAAUUUCAACCUACACAACAAUUAAAAUUCAUCCAGAUUUCCAGCUAUCAUUACAAUCUCAUAAAUUAGUUAGAUUGUUUUAAUUGAAGGACCGCCUAAUGUUCAUCAUCAUUUUCAUCAUUUUCUCUCAUCAUCUGUUGUGUGUCCCUUCAUCUUUGUUUUCCCGAAGGAUUAACAACAAAAACAUUAACCAACCUGUUAAUUGGUGUUGACCGUGAAUCUUUAUUCCUCAUCGUUGUUUUAACUCUUUCCAAUUAAUUUAUCACAUUUAAAACAUGAUUUAUGUUUUGAUUAACAAAUUGUUCCUCACCAAUCAACCCGAAAGAGAGAGAAAAACAAAUCAUUCAAUUUUUUUUCUGAUAUAAUAGUUAAAAUUAAUGGAUGAAGAUUAACCUUGUCUGAUUUUCAUCAACAUCAAUCA